rnacentral:rRNA from 1 species
UACGGGGGGGGCAAGCGUUGUUCGGAAUUACUGGGCGUAAAGGGCUCGUAGGCGGCCAACUAAGUCAGACGUGAAAUCCCUCGGCUUAACCGGGGAACUGCGUCUGAUACUGGAUGGCUUGAGUUUGGGAGAGGGAUGCGGAAUUCCAGGUGUAGCGGUGAAAUGCGUAGAUAUCUGGAGGAACACCGGUGGCGAAGGCGACAUCCUGGACCAACACUGACGCUCAGGCACGAAAGCGUGGGGAGCAAACAGGG